UACGUAGGGUGCGAGCGUUGUCCGGAAUUACUGGGCGUAAAGCGCACGUAGGCGGCUUUGUAAGUUAGAGGUGAAAGCCCAGAGCUCAACUCUGGAAUUGCCUUUAAGACUGCAUCGCUUGAACAUCGGAGAGGUAAGUGGAAUUCCGAGUGUAGAGGUGAAAUUCGUAGAUAUUCGGAAGAACACCAGUGGCGAAGGCGACUUACUGGACGAUUGUUGACGCUGAGGUGCGAAAGCGUGGGGAGCAAACAGG
rnacentral:rRNA from 1 species